UCGCCUGUUUAACAAAAACAUAGCUUUAUGAAAUAUAUAUUAGGUUCAACCUGCCCAAUGAUAAAUUUUUAAAUGGCCGCAGUACUUUGACUGUGCUAAGGUAGCAUAAUAAAUUGACUUUUAAUUGAAGUCUAGAAUGAAAGGAUUAAUGAAAUAUUAACUGUCUUAAUUAAAACUUUUAUAAUUUUCUUAUGAGGUGAAAAUUCCUUUGAGUUAAUUUAAUAGACGAGAAGACCCUAGGAGUUUAAAAUUUUGUUGGGGCGACAUUAUAACAUGUAAAACUUAUAUAAUAAGUAUGUUUUAUUUAAAAAUGUUUUUGAUAAUAAAUAAGCUACCCUAGGGAUAACAGCAUAAUUUAUUUUGUUUAAGUUUAUGACCUCGAUGUUGGAUUAGGGACUACUUAAUAUUAAUUAUAUUAAUUGACUGUUCUGUUCGAACAUUAAUAUACCUACGUGAUCUGAGUUCAGACCGGA
rnacentral:rRNA from 1 species